rnacentral:rRNA from 1 species
AUUGAACGCUGGCGGCGUGCUUAACACAUGCAAGUCGAUCGGUAACAGGUGUAGCAAUACAUGCUGACGAGAGGCGGACGGGUGAGGAAUAUUUGGGAAUCUGCCCAUCAGCGGGGGACAACCCGGGGAAACCCGGGCUAAUACCGCAUACGCUCUACGGAGGAAAGCCGGGGACCGCAAGGCCUGGCACUGAUGGAUGAGCCCAAAUCGGAUUAGCUAGUUGGCGGGGUAACGGCCCACCAAGGCGACGAUCCGUAGCUGGUCUGAGAGGACGAUCAGCCACACCGGAACUGAGACACGGUCCGGACUCCUACGGGAGGCAGCAGUGGGGAAUAUUGGACAAUGGGGGAAACCCUGAUCCAGCGACGCCGCGUGGGUGAAGAAGGCCUGCGGGUUGUAAAGCCCUUUCGGUAGGGACGAAAGCUCUUGCUCCAACAAAGCAGGGGGUUGACUUAACCUACAUAAGAAGCACCGGCUAACUCUGUGCCAGCCGCCGCCGUAACAC